GCGGGUGUAGCUCAGAGGUAGAGCAUAACCUUGCCAAGGUUGGGGUCGUGGGUUCGAGUCCCAUCACCCGCUCCA
rnacentral:tRNA from 1 species